GCUACUUGGAUCUGCAAAAUCUUGACACUGAGUUGUAGAAAGUGGCUUCAGCAGUCAGAACAAGCUCUCUCCCUUCAAAUCCCAGGACAUCACUAAUGCACACAGCUCACAUGGCCCAGCCACGAAGACUGAGGAGGAGCAACCAAAUCCUCACCAGAGAGAUUUAAGUCACUGUAAGGACAAAACCAUGCUGUGCUAAACCACCUAAACAUGAUGUGCAAAACCACCUUAAAGCUGAAGAGACAGCUUCAGCACUAAAUGUAUUGAUUGUUCUGGGAGGGAGAUGCACAAACAUCACAUCAAUGACUUCACAUCUGGAUAUAUGUUGCUGCCAUCAGAGCGCAGUUAUGAGAGGCCGCAUAUCAAGACAAACCAAACACUUUUUUCCUUCAUCCCAAACUGUCCAACAAGCAAAGAUUGUCAUUGUGGAUAUAUGCUCAUGUCUCGUGCACUA